rnacentral:rRNA from 1 species
UCUGUAGGUGGUUUAAUAAGUCAACUGUUAAAUCUUGAGGCUCAACCUCAAAAUCGCAGUCGAAACUAUUAGACUAGAGUAUAGUAGGGGUAAAGGGAAUUUCCAGCGGAGCGGUGAAAUGCGUAGAUAUUGGAAGGAACACCGAUGGCGAAGGCACUUUACUGGGCUAUUACUAACACUCAGAGACGAAAGCUAGGGUAGCAAAUG